UGUUUCGUGCCCGAAAUAUAUAUAUCACUAUAUUUUUAUACAGUGAUAUAGGUAGCUUGUAGGUACUAUCAUUCAUGAAUACAAAAGCAACGUAGUUGUUCUAAUGAAAUGCUUUACUACAUUUCAUCUCACAAGUGAAGGCUUUCUAAAAAUGUUAGCAUUAUUUUAUAUUCAAAAAGCCAGACUAUAAAAGCUAAAAGCUGCUAUAAAAUUUUUCCAAUCUUGAACUACUAAAGACAAGCUAAUUGAAGCUCCAAAAAUCUUAUAUCUGGGUUGACCAGUAGAAGUAAAGUCAUAUUCAUAUGAAUCUCUGAUCACAAUAGGAUCUACAGUAAAGAAACAGCUAACAUGCUUGCGAACUAAGGCACAUUAAUUCCCUUCAUAGGUCUCAUUAGUUAGGGCUUUUUGUCGCAGACCGGAGUUAAGCAAGGCUGUUUGCUAUCAACACUACUAUUUGCAGUAACGUUAAAUGCUGUGUUGAUAAAAGUCACUGUUGAAAGAAGGAGGACCCUCCAUAAUGGAGGGUCAACCAACAUUUCGAAGACCUCGACGACAUAAUUUAACUCUCUUCAAAUAAAAAGCAUAUGCAGGCAAAAACUGAUGCCCUUUCAACUACAACCACACUAGUGGGUUUGCGAAUCAACAUAAGCAAAAUAAAGGCAUGCACGAUUAAGUCAAAUCAAACUCCCACUUUCACAGUCAGUAACACCAACAUUGAAACCGUUGAAAAUUUCUGCUACCUUGGAAGCAUAAUAAAUCUAACGUGAGGCCCAGCCAUUGACGUACGAAGCAGAAUUAACAAAGCAAGAUCCGCAUUUGCAACUCUCUUUCAAUAUCUGGAGCUCUAACGAAUUAUCUCCGAAGACCAAAAUCAAUGUAUAUAACCCAUGUGUCAGAUCAAUUCUGCUGCAUAGCUCUGAAAUAUGGUUGUUGAGGACUGAAACUAGCCGCAUGUUGGAACUGUUGUCUGCGAAAUAUAUUGAGAAUUUGAUGGCCCCGUCUGAUGGAGAAUGAAACGUUGCUGCAACUCACAAACCAAGAAAAUAUGCAAAUAAAAUAACGAAAAUAUAACGGGCUCAUUAAGAAAACCCUACGAAGAGGUCUGUCCUGCUGCCUUACGAUGGAACCACUUGGAGAAGAACCAUUCGGCAUGAAACUAACAAAUCAUUUAAAGAAUUAAAAUAUUUAGAAAUACCUGGCGUAUCUAUGUAAAUAUGGGUCUCAAGACUAUCGAAUAUAAAUAUGCAAAAUCGUACACUAAUGGGUUAAGACGAUCUAAACAGCACAUUUAAAUCUAAUCUAUGUAAUGCACAGAAGUGGUAAUUAAUCUAAAUAGACCUGAAAAUUAUCACCAUACAAACAUGGAAUUAAAAGUCACUGCAGAAUUAAUUUGUGUAUGUAAUUAAUCAUGGCGUUGACCAUUUGUUUGAUUGUUUAAUUUGUUUAAUGCAAAAUAAAUGUUCUAAAUUUUAGAGCGAGUAAUAGGACGGAAAAGUAAUAAAAUAGUGAUUUACAAGAUGAUGCUCUUAAUAUCUUUUGAUAAUAUGAUUUAUAACAUAUUAAAGUCGGUACUUUAGACCUGUGAUUCUCAAUUUGAAAGCAUCAUUUUUAAGUACAGGAUGUAAAACAUCUAAAAUCCAACAUUCCCACAACACAGAUUCCCAAUUUAAAGGCAUUAUUGUCAAAAAAUUUAAAGAUAUUCUUUUACGACUUUCUUAAGCUAAGAUUCCCUGUGAUGCUCUUAAACAUUUUCAAUAAGUUUAUUGACGGAUCUCUUAAUACUGCAGCGAAAACGGCACUAAGUGGUAGCAUGCAAGAACAUCAAUUAUAGGAAAUGAAUCAAAACGUGGAUAAUAAUGAAAAGAGAUUUUGAGCUGGAAAAGAAAACAGAAUGCUAAA